GCACCCGCGGUAAUUCCAGCUCCAAUAGCGUAUAUUAAAGUUGUUGCAGUUAAAAAGCUCGUAGUUGGAUUUCUGGGAGGGUGCCGAUGUCCACUUAACGUGUGCGCAGCGGCGCCCUCUCAUCCUUCUGUUAGCGUCUCUUGGCAUUCAUUUGCUGGUGGCGGGCUCAGAUAUUUUACCUUGAGAAAAUUAGAGUGUUUCAGGCAGGCUAGGCCGGAAUACAUUAGCAUGGAAUAAUGGAAUAGGACUACGGUCUCUUUGUUGGUUUGAGGGACUGCAGUAAUGAUUAAUAGGGAUAGCUGGGGGCAUUAGUACUUAACUGUCAGAGGUGGAAUUCUCAGAUUUGUUAAAGACUGACUUAUGCGAAAGCAUUUGCCAAGGAUGUUUUCAUCGAUCAAGAACGAAAGU
rnacentral:rRNA from 1 species